rnacentral:rRNA from 1 species
GACAGAGGGUGCAAACGUUGUUCGGAAUUACUGGGCGUAAAGCGCGUGUAGGCGGCCAUCUAAGUCGGGCGUGAAAUCCCACGGCUCAACCGUGGAAGUGCACUCGAAACUGGAUGGCUAGAGUCCUGGAGAGGAAGGUGGAAUGCUUGGUGUAGAGGUGAAAUUCGUAGAUAUCGAGAGGAAUACCUGCGGCGAAAGCGGCCUUCUGGACGAACACUGACGCUGAGACACGAAAGCGUGGGGAGCAAACAGG